rnacentral:rRNA from 1 species
UACGGGGGGGGCUAGCGUUGUCCGGAUUUAUUGGGCGUAAAGCGCGUGUAGGCGGCCAGGAAGGUCCGCUGUGAAAACUCGAGGCUCAACCUCGAGAUGUCGGCGGAAACCCUCUGGCUAGAGUCCGGAAGAGGAGAGUGGAAUUCCCGGUGUAGCGGUGAAAUGCGCAGAUAUCGGGAAGAACACCCGUGGCGAAGGCGGCUCUCUGGGACGGUACUGACGCUGAGACGCGAAAGCGUGGGGAGCGAACAGG